rnacentral:rRNA from 1 species
AGUCAAUAGAUACCCAGGUAGUCCACGCCCUAAACGAUGUCGACUGGGUGUUGGGGAAGCGAUUUCCCAGUACCGUAGCUAAACGCGUGAAGUCGACCGCCUGGGGAGUACGGCCGCAAGGUUAAAACUCAAAGGAAUUGACGGGGACCCGCACAAGCGGUGGAUGAUGUGGAUUAAUUCGAUGCAACGCGAACAACCUUACCUACCCUUGACAUGUCCGGAAGCCCGGUGAGAGCUGGGGGUGCCCGAAAGGGAACCGGAACACAGGUGCUGCAUGGCUGUCGUCAGCUCGUGUCGUGAGAUGUUGGGUUAAGUCCCGCAACGAGCGCAACCCUUGUCCCUAGUUGCUACGCAAGGGCACUCUAGGGAGACUGCCGGUGACAAACCGGAGGAAGGUGGGAUGACGUCAAGUCCUCAUGGCCCUUAUGGGUAGGGCUUCACACGUCAUACAAUGGCCGGUACAGAGGGUUGCCAAAGCGCGAGCUGGAGCCAAUCCCCAUAAAAGCCGGUCGUAGUCCGGAUUGCAGUCUGCAACUCGACUGCAUGAA